ensembl:miRNA
CCACUGAGUUGUGCCUAUUCAUUGCCAAGGUUCUUGUGUCUUUUUGGGCAGGUGGCUGGGUGCGCACAACCCACAGAGAUGGGGCAGGGCUAUAUGGGGAUUUAUGUGCAGAAUUUAAUAACCUU